rnacentral:rRNA from 1 species
CGUGUGCUUACAAGUAGUCAGAGCCCGUUAAUGGGUGAUGGCGUGCCUUUUGUAGAAUGAACCGGCGAGUUACGAUUUGAUGCAAGGUUAAGCAGUAAAUGUGGAGCCGUAGCGAAAGCGAGUCUGAAUAGGGCGUUUAGUAUUUGGUCGUAGACCCGAAACCAGGUGAUCUACCCUUGGUCAGGUUGAAGUUCAGGUAACACUGAAUGGAGGACCGAACCGACUUACGUUGAAAAGUGAGCGGAUGAACUGAGGGUAGCGGAGAAAUUCCAAUCGAACCUGGAGAUAGCUGGUUCUCUCCGAAAUAGCUUUAGGGCUAGCCUCAAGUGAUGAUUAUUGGAGGUAGAGCACUGUUUGGACGAGGGGCCCCUCUCGGGUUACCGAAUUCAGACAAACUCCGAAUGCCAAUUAAUUUAACUUGGGAGUCAGAACAUGGGUGAUAAGGUCCGUGUUCGAAAGGGAAACAGCCCAGACCACCAGCUAAGG